GCGGGCAUAGCUCAGGUGGUAGAGCGCGGGCCUUCCAAGCCCGAUGCACGGGUUCGAACCCCGUUGCCCGCUCCA
rnacentral:tRNA from 1 species